rnacentral:rRNA from 1 species
CCUACGGGAGGCAGCAGUGAGGAAUAUUGGUCAAUGGCCGGAAGGCUGAACCAGCCAAGCCGCGUGAAGGACGAAUGUGCCAAGCAUUGUAAACUUCUUUUGUCAAGGGACAAAAUCAGGCUCGAGAGCCUGACCGUGGGUACUUGAAGAAAAAGCAUCGGCUAACUCCGUGCCAGCAGCCGCGGUAAUACGGAGGAUCCGAGCGUUAUCCGGAUUUAUUGGGUUUAAAGGGUGCGUAGGGGGGCUGUUAAGUCAGUGGUAAAAGCCCGGGGCUCAACCCCGGAGAGCAGUUGAUACUGGCUGUCUUGAGUUGUCGAGAGGUAUGCGGAAUGCGCGGUGUAGCGGUGAAAUGCUUAGAUAUUGCGAAGAACUCCGAUUGCGAAGGCAGCAUACCGGCGUGGAACUGACGUUGAGGCACGAAAGUGUGGGUAUCGAACAGGAUUAGAUACCCUAGUAGUC